UACAGAGGUCCCAAGCGUUGUUCGGAUUCAUUGGGCGUAAAGGGUGUGUAGGUGGCGCCGUAAGUCGGGGGUGAAAUUUCGAGGCUUAACCUCGAAACUGCAUUCGAUACUGCGGUGCUUGAGGACUGGAGAGGAGACUGGAAUUCAUGGUGUAGCAGUGAAAUGCGUAGAGAUCAUGAGGAAGACCAGUGGCGAAGGCGGGUCUCUGGACAGUUCCUGACACUGAGACACGAAGGCCAGGGGAGCAAACGGG
rnacentral:rRNA from 1 species